rnacentral:rRNA from 1 species
UACGUAGGGGGCAAGCGUUGUCCGGAUUUAUUGGGCGUAAAGAGCGUGUAGGCGGCUAGAUAGGUCCGUUGUGAAAACUCGAGGCUCAACCUCGAGACGUCGAUGGAAACCAUCUGGCUAGAGUCCGGAAGAGGAGAGUGGAAUUCCUGGUGUAGCGGUGAAAUGCGCAGAUAUCAGGAAGAACACCGAUGGCGAAGGCAGAUCUCUGGGCCGUAACUGACGCUGAGGAGCGAAAGCAUGGGGAGCGAACAGG